CACGUAGGGCGCAAGCGUUGUCCGGAAUUAUUGGGCGUAAAGAGCUCGUAGGCGGUCUGUUGCGUCCGCUGUGAAAUCCCGAGGCUCAACCUCGGGCUUGCAGUGGGUACGGGCAGGCUAGAGUGCGGUAGGGGAGAAUGGAACUCCUGGUGUAGCGGUGGAAUGCGCAGAUAUCAGGAAGAACACCGAUGGCGAAGGCAGUUCUCUGGGCCGUAACUGACGCUGAGGAGCGAAAGCGUGGGGAGCGAACAGG
rnacentral:rRNA from 1 species